ACUGUGCUAAGGUAGCAUAAUCAAUUGGCUAUUAAUUGUAGUCUGGAAUGAAAGAAGUAAUGAAUAGUAGCUAUAAUAAUUAGUGUUUUUUUAAUUUGUUUAUCUGGUGAAAAUACCAGUAAUUUAGAAAAAAGACGAGAAGACCCUUAGAAUUUUUAAAGAAAAGUGUAUAACAUUUUUAAAUAGAAAAAAUAGAUUACAUCCUAAUUUUUUGUUGGGGCGACAAGAAAACAAAAACUUAAAAGAAACUUUUCUAAUUUUAUUAAAAAAAUUUAUGAUAAUUAUGUGACGAAAUUUUUAUGAAUAACUAAAUUACCUUAGGGAUAACAGCAUAAUGAUAAUUUUAUUUAGUUUGUGACC
rnacentral:rRNA from 1 species